GAUGAACGCUGGCGGCGUGCCUAAUACAUGCAAGUCGGGCGAACGGACGAGAAUCUUGCUUCUCUGAUGUUAGCGGCGGACGGGUGAGUAACACGUGGAUAACCUACCUAUAAGACUGGGAUAACUUCGAGAAACCGGAGCUAAUACCGGAUAAUAUUUUGAACCGCAUGGUUCAAAAGUGACAGACGGUCUUGCUGUCACUUAUAGAUGGAUCCGCGCUGCAUUAGCUAGUUGGUAAGGUAACGGCUUACCAAGGCAACGAUGCAUAGCCGACCUGAGAGAGUGAUAGGCCACACUGGAACUGGGACACGGUCCAGACUCCUACGGGAGGCAGCAGUAGGCAAUCUUCCGCAACGGGCGAAAGCAUGACGGAGCAACGCCGCGUGAGUGAUGAAGGUCUUCGGAUCGUAAAACUCUGUUAUUAGGGAAGAACAUAUGUGUAAGUAACUGUGCACAUCUUGACGGUACCUAAUCAGAAAGCAACGGCUAACUACGUG
rnacentral:rRNA from 1 species